rnacentral:lncRNA from 10 species
CCUCCUGAGUUUAAGGAUCCUUGGGUGGAUGGGUGGGCGGGGCACAGCUGAGGUCAGAGCUCUCAAAGGCCAAUACUACGGACUUGCCUUUUUUGUUGUUGUUUUAUUUGGAGGGGGGUGUUUGUUUUAUCAUGGUAAAAUAAACAUAGCAUAAAAAUUACCAUUUUAACUACUUUUAAUUGUACCAUUCAGUGGCAUUAAGUAAUUCACAUUUUUACACAGCCAUCACCACCCUUCAUCUCUAGAGGUCUUUUCAUCUUCCCAAACAAACUCUGUCCCCAAUAAACACUCCCCAUUCCCAUCCCUUAGUCCCGAGCAGCCACCCUUCUACUUUCUGUUUCUAUGAAUUUGCCUACCUAAGAACCUAUUUAAGUGGAUCAUGCAAUAUUUGUCCUUUUGUGACUGGCUUACUUCACUUAGCAUAAUGUCUUCAGGAUUCCCUCAGAACAAGGACCUCUAAGGACAAAAAUAAGUGAAAAUAAGAAAAAAAGAAAAAAUGCUUCCUUUAUACUAUAGCAUAUGUUGGAUAUGGCCUCCCUUUUUAAGGCUGAGUUAUAUUUCAUCCUCUGGAUGGAUCACAUUUUCUUAUCCAUUCAUCUGUUGAUGGACACCUGCGUUGCUCCCACCUUUUGGCUGUUGUGAAUAUGCUGCCGUGAACAUAGGUGUGCAAAUAUCAUUUCAGGUCCUUGCUUUCACUUUUGGGGGGUUAUACCCAAAAGUGGCAUUGCUGAGUCAGAUGGUAAUCCUCUGUUUAAUUCUAUGAAGAACAGGGAUAUUGUUUUCUCCAGUUGGCUGCACCGUUGUACAUUCCCACCAGGAAUGUACUGGUGCACCAGGGUUCCAGUUUCCCCACAUUCUUGUCAGCACUUGUUGUGAGAUGCUCAUUCUAGUACUGUCCUAGAAUGAAAUGAGUCUCAGCUGGCAUGUUCCUCGCUCUCCUUCUCGGUGCCCAUCUUUUUCUUAGUUGAAAUGAUCUGUGAUUCUGGAUGCAGCCCGUGUUGUUCUGGGACGUCUCUGUAUUGCACUAAAUUAAUAAAGGAGCUUUCAUUUUUGCAGUUAUGUAUUUUGAAUUCCCUAUUCUCUCUUCAUCCUGAAUGACUGAGACUUGAUUAGACAUCGGCACAGCGCACCUGACAUGGCGCUGACAUGGAAAUGCAAUGGGUGGCAGCUCGGGGUGCAGACCCCACCCAGGAUGCUGUGCCCGAGGGGACACAAUGUGUGCAGCAGAGUUCCAGAGCUUAUUCAUCUCGCCUGCCUGAAAGCUGAUGCUAGUUGACGAGCAACUCCCCAUGUCUCCCUCCCUCUACCCCCGGCAACCAUCAGCCCACUCUGUGUCGUACGUGUCAGAAUUUCAUUCGUUCUUAAGCGGAAUCAUAUUCUAUUGAAUCACUGGAUCAUAUGGCAGUUCUAGUUUUAGUUUUUUGAGGAACUGCCAUACUGUUUUCCAUAAUGGCUGCACCAUUUUUGCAUCCCUACCAACAGUGUUUAAAGGUUCCAAUUUCUCCUCACCCACAUGGCAGGACAGUCCUACUUCCUUUUCCCUUAAGGGAAGAUUCAAAUGCUGCUUCUUUGGUGAAGUCUUCCCCAGGCCUCGUCCCUUUCUUUGCAUUCCUGUAGCACAGAACCCCAUCUGUGUCUUAUAGGCACGGAAUAAGUGAAUGAAAUGCAUUCAUUAUACACAGCCGCCUUCUGUUUUCCAUUAUUUGUCAUUAUUCAGUGUGUUCUGUGAACCAGGAGCUGGGCAUGGCUUGUUGAAUAAGAACACAGUCCCUAAACUAAUCAUUUAAGACCUGAGCCUAAUUGAGCAGGUAGAAAGCCAGGAAGAACACACCUACUUUGUAUUUGCAGUCCUUUCCUCAUGCUAAUUGAUAAGGCGAUUAAUCCUUACACUAUUGCUGAGCCACAACCCCAUGGAGUUUUACAGUGUACUUGACCUUUGCUUAAGGUAAGGGAGUUUGUUUGGCAAAAACAAUGAUACAUAUUUCCAUGGCAUUGGAAUCCUGCUGGAUUUCUGAGACUCUGGGAAUGCAGAUGUGGGCACUGGAGUAAAUGUGAGCAUUUCAUUACUGCUUUAAAAUUGUCUUUAUGGUCCAGGCUGCUGCAGCCUUUAGAACAAACCACGACAGUUGGGAUCUAGAAGCCUGCGCCUCUCCUAGAGACAAUUUGGUGAGGGCAUAUGAGGUAACACAUCCACAGAUGCUCUGAAGGGCUUGAGCGGGAUCCUGCACCUUAUUACAGGUGGUUGUUGGUAUCUUGGGCAGGUUUCAAGACCUGGAGGUUCAAGCCAGCCCAUCUCACUGCUGAGCCAAUAAGGAGGAAGACAAAAAUAAACACUACUGUCUCUGGGGCUGAAGAUUUGCCCAGGACAAUGAAGCAGCCAGCGGGAGGGUAGUGCAGAGCCGGUAAGUUUAGGGUCAGCUUUAUUUUCACAGGCAAAUGAGGAAGUGAGAGGCUGCUAAAAUCACUCCUCUGAGGCUUCCCCUGCCCCCGCCUCCUCCCGCCUCCUCCCCCUCCCGCGCCCCCCGCCUCCUCCCCCUCCCCUGUCCACAAGUCUCCCCACCCCGUUUGCUGUUUUUCAUCCUCAUGAGUUUCGUUAGGUUUUCCCACAUCUAGAACACUGCGUUGUACAGUUUUGCCUUUAAAAAAAAACUUCCUACAAAUGCUGUCGUACUGUGUUUGUUUUUCUGAACUUCCUUCUUUUUUUAAUACCUCAGCGUUAUAUCCAGUGGCUCCUCCGUGUCGAUGCGGAGACAGGGAAUGAGUGAGAGCGACGCCGGCUUUGA